rnacentral:tRNA from 1 species
GCGCAGGUAGCUAAGCCAGGCCAAAGGCGCAGGGUUGAGGGCUCUGUCUCGUAGGAGUUCCCAGGUUCGAAUCCUGGUCUGCGCA